ACCCAGCCAUGCCGCGUGCAGGAAGACGGCCCUCUGGGUUGUAAACUGCUUUUAUCUGGGAAGAAAAAGUCCAUGCGUGGAAAAUUGCCGGUACCAGAUGAAUAAGCACCGGCUAACUCCGUGCCAGCAGCCGCGGUAAUACGGAGGGUGCAAGCGUUGUCCGGAUUUAUUGGGUUUAAAGGGUGCGUAGGCGGCUGAAUAAGUCAGCGGUGAAAGACUUCGGCUUAACCGGAGCAAUGCCGUUGAUACUGUUUAGCUUGAGUGUUGGAGGGGUACAUGGAAUUGAUGGUGUAGCGGUGAAAUGCAUAGAUACCAUCAGGAACACCGAUGGCGAAGGCMUUGUACUGGCCAACAACUGACGCUGAAGCACAAAAGUGUGGGGAUCGAACAGGAUUAGAUACCCUGGUAGUCCACACCGUAAACGAUGA
rnacentral:rRNA from 1 species